GGAAAAACAAAAGGCAGUGAGUUCUCUCAGCCAAUUUCUCAGCCAAUUACAGGUCGACCUUCUCGUCUACCCCGCUCACUGCUGCGCUUGACUGGUCUUUG
rnacentral:Y_RNA from 1 species